rnacentral:tRNA from 1 species
UUCCUGAUAGUCUAGUGGUUAGGAUUCUGUGCUUUCAGUGCCUAGGCCCAGGUUCAGUCCCUGGUUGGGAAA